AACGAACGCUGGCGGCAGGCCUAACACAUGCAAGUCGAACGGGUACUUUCGGGUACUAGUGGCGGACGGGUGAGUAACGCGUGGGAACGUGCCCUUUGGUUCGGAAUAGCCCUGGGAAACUGGGAGUAAUACCGGAUGAGCCCUACGGGGGAAAGAUUUAUCGCCAAAGGAUCGGCCCGCGUUGGAUUAGGUAGUUGGUGGGGUAAUGGCCUACCAAGCCGACGAUCCAUAGCUGGUUUGAGAGGAUGAUCAGCCACACUGGGACUGAGACACGGCCCAGACACCUACGGGUGGCUG
rnacentral:rRNA from 1 species